GGCAAGGAGGGCGGUCCAUUGGAGAUGGGAAGUUGCCAGCCAUUGGUACGUAAAGAGGUGCUGGGCCUGGGUCUUCCAGAUGUUGAGUCCAGGACUCCCUCAGUUGGCUCUGGAGACUUGGUACAGUCCAUGGGUUCUGUUAGACAUACACUCUCCUCGCCCUCCUCCUCUUCCUCCUCCAGCCGCUCCAGAGACACCAUCUCUAGCUCAACAGGAAGACCUGAGU
rnacentral:misc_RNA from 1 species